UUAAAAGUUACACUUACCACUGGGUGUUCGCGGCACACAUCUUUAAUCCCAGCACUCAGGAGGCAGAGGCAGGUGUGUCUCUGGAGGGAGUGGUUCUGAUGCUUUGAUCGAGAAUCCGUGUGAACGCUGAAAGUCCUGUUCCUCAAUUGGUUCUUGAUCGAUCAAUAAAGAUGCCAGUGGCCAAUGGCUGGGCUGAAGAGGCGGGACUUCCGGGUUCCCGCAGGCUGGUAGUGAUGAUGAGAAUUGAGAUACUUGGGGGAGAGACCGAACGGACUGGGAGCGACAGGGGAUAUCUUCCAAAAUAGCAUUCUGAAGGAGAUGUUGAUUGACGGCUCAAGCCUAAAUGGGACGUCCUCAUCGAGUCUCCUUCCCUCAAGGCUCAAGGCUCCUUGUGGAAGCUCAGAGGGGCAGAAGGACUCUGAGAGGCAGAGGUAAUCCAUGAUUCUCUGAAUAUGACAAGGCUGUUACACACAGGAACUCACAGUGGCCGUGACUGCACAGGAUUGUUCUAGAGUGGAUGAGAAGCUCACCAAUACUGCUGCAGGGCAGGGGAGAACUGGUUUUCUGCAGGUGUGGCCCCUGAGAGGCGUCCCAUAUUCCAGUGGCUGGCUUCCCCUCCCCCCAUACUGACAGCAUUAAGCAGACUCAGGAAGAGAUGAGAAAAGAGAGGAAAAGACCCCACAGGAUGUCGGCCCAUGCGGGCAGACCACAGAGCCGCCCCAGACCAGGCGGGCAUGUCAGGUGGACGGAGUGUGAGCUGGUUAGUCUAAAUCCAUGUUAAACAGAGAAACCAGUUCUGCUAAUGGGGCUGAUGUGUUAAUUGCUCUGUCUCAGCCACCCAGCAGCUUCCCACAGACUCUACAGGAGCUCCGGAAACAGCCACCAAAGAGAAACCGCCAGUGUCAGAAGUCAGCGUGUGGGUUGUGGCUCCUGGCAGCAGCGUCCUGGAGAAGCGCUGGGAGGGGCUGGAGGACCUGCCACCAGCCUUCCCCUUGGGUCCUCUAGGCCCAGAAUCUUCCGUCUGCUGGAUGCUAGUGAGGGUGCGGGGUCUUGUGGGUAAUGGCUCACACCCUUGUGCACACGCUUACGCAGUGGUGGUGUGUGAGGCUGGCUGUUAGAUCCUUCAGGCCCCCCAGGGGGGCAGUGGAGGCCUCUUCUGUGGGGGGUUUUAGAACUGGCUCUGGCCAAAGCUUCAUUGCUUCAGUAUAAACCCUGAAUGACCGGGCUCUCCCUUUCUGUGACAGACAUUCUUGAAAGUGAGACUCGUUCAGACUUUUACUAAAACAAAACAACAACGACAAACCCACCAGACGUAGUGACACAGUCCUGUAAUCCCAGUAUCUGGGGCCUUGACACAAAGGCACCACGGAAAGUUUGAGAUGAACCUGAGCUACAUAGGGAGGCAUGAUCUCAAAAAAACAAAACAAGACAAAAAAAAAAAAAUCAAAACCCACCAAAAAAAAACAAAAACCAAACCAACAACAACAAAAACCCCAAGGGGCUGGAGAGAUGGCUCAGUGGUUACGGGCACUUUCUUCUCUUUUGCCUUCCAAUUUUUUUUUUUUUUUUUCUUUUGAGACAGGGUUUCACGGUGUAGCCCUGGCUGUCCGAGAACUCACUCUGUAGACUAGGCUGGCCUGGAACACAGAGAUCCACCUGCCUCUGCCUCCCAAGUCCUGGAGUUAAAGGUGUGCACCACCACCUGGCUCCCCUUGCUACUCUUGCCAUGGUGACUCAGCUACUGGUAAAUUCAGUUCCAGGGAAUCCAAUGCCCGCUCCGGCUUCCGUGGGCACCAGGCAUCCUUGUGGCACACAGACACAUGCACGUAAAACAAACAGGACAAAGGUUAAGUGAAAAGAAGGAGUUUGUAAGGGGGGAGGGAGCUUUCAGGCCUCUUCCUGUUAGGACAGCUUCUGUUGGAAUGUUUGGGCAUGGAAUAGUGUCUUCGUCCCUACACACACACACACACACACUCUCUCUCUCUCUCUCUCUCUCUCUCUCUCUCUCUCUCUCUCUCUCACUGUUCAGAGCCUUCCCUUACUCCACUGAGGCCUACCUCUUGAGGACCGGUACCCCCUUCUCUGCCCCUCAAGCCUACCCCUUUUGCUUCUGCUUGUCGAAGGGGACAUAGGUGGGUUACAGGGCCCAGACGUGACCACAGUCUCCUGAGGAAGGGACUGGCUCAGAGGUCAUCCUGGGCCAUCAGUGUUGCCUGGGCUCAGCCCCCUGGCCUUUUUGGAGAAAAGCCCUGAGGGUCAGCGAGGGGAACAACCUCCUCCAUCCUCAGCCCGGCCUGGAGUUUCCGUCCAGCUGGGCAUGGAUCCAAGAUAGGCUGUUGUGGAUGGCAGUGGGCCCUACCACCCCCAAAUGUAGCAGUGGAAAAGGGUCCAAGGCCUCACCCUUUGGGCUAAGAUAACAGUCAGUUUUUCCCAGCUCAGCCAGCAGAACGACUGUUUGGGGGCCCUAGAAUUUCUUUUUCCAGGAGCCGACACACCUCCUCUGCCCCACCCCUCCUGGCUAGAGACACUUCUAAGCCACGCAAUGGACACUUGAGAGUCCAGUGACCAGUAAAACCCCUGCUGACUCCUGUAGGUUGCCUGUUAAACCCUUGGCCUGGACCCAUUCUGAACUCUGUUUUCCCCAAGCAAGGCAGCCAGAGUGAGUGGUCACUCCUUUCCCCAGAGCCAGAGGAGAGCUGCAGCAUUCUCCCUCCUGCUGAGACACUGACCCCUGCUGGCCAGCCACACAUCCACUGGCCUUCCACCUCCCACAGGGCAGCAUGCUGCUUGCCUACUUCCUGCACAGGGGGCUCACUACUUUACAGCGUAGCCUGCCCUGGUUAGGGACGACUCCGAGUAAUGGCGCCUGCCCUGUAGUUCCAGCCACAUGAGUGACCGAGCAAGAGGGUCACCAAAGGGGUUGGGGAUUUAGCUCAGUGGUAGAGCGCUUGCCUAGGAAGCACAAGGCCCUGGGUUCGGUCCCCAGCUCCGAAAAAAAGAACCAAAAAAAAAACAGAGGGUCACCAAGGAGAUAAGGCCCAGCCUGUGUGAUUUAGUCAUCAGUUGGGAUGCCGUGUCACUUUGAAGUAUGGCAUGGCCUGAGACUCACUAUGAGUCCCAGGCUGGCUUCGAACUCAUGUCCCUCUGCUCUGUCUCCUGAGUGCUGAGAGUACAGUAUGUGCCUCCAUAACCAGCUAACUCCGUUUUUUUUGGUUUUUGUUUUUGUUUUUUUAAAUCCACUGUGAGGUGGUCACUGGCAAUGUACCCAUUCUACAGACAGGAAGCGUGAGGUCUGGAAAUGUGUCACUCAAGGCCAGGUAGUUAGGAAGCCAGAGAGACACAGGGGCUGGGAUAGAGAUCAGAGUCCCUGACCCAGCCACCUGUGCUGGGGACAUCAUACCAUAACAUUACACUAGCCACAUGUCCCAGCAGGCUGGGUCUCCCCUCUCACCAGGACCUGGAUCGCUGUAAACGCACAUCUUUGCCUCACUUCUCCAAUGCCUUCCUCCUCUCCUUCAGGAGGCCUGGGGGCAGCCAUCGAACGGACCAGGGGCUUCAACUCCUUUCUGGCCUUAUAAAGGGAAGAUGGGGUGGGGUGGGGGGAAGCAUAUCGGCAAUGUUGGUGGGUCCAGGCAGUCCCGUGUAUCAGCUUUGGCCGGAAUCUGAACCCCCACUCAGAGACUGGCAUGAAGAGAGAGACCCUUUCACCUCCUCCCGAGAGCUGCUGGGUUUCCCCUCUCCAUCUACAGAGGCUGGCACAAAUAAAUAAGACGAAAUAAA